UCUUUGAAAGGACAGAGUCUUGCCUGUCUCCUACGGAGCAUCCGGAUUUUCCCUAAAAUGAGGAAAUUAACAAGUUGAUUUAAAAAAAUGAUUAAUUGCGGAGAAGCUUUUCUUCUACGAAGCAAAAGAAAGGUAAGUUGGCGAUUUUUUAAGGAAGUACGACGAGCUUGAGGCUCUUUACAGCAGUACGAAAGCUAUAUUAUACGAAAUGGAGGACGAAAAUGCUCUUCUGAAAACGCGUUUCACUUCGCUGGUGUAAAUUUGUUAGCCCCCUCAACUCUUCAAUUUUUAAAAUUUUGCUCAGUCCGUUGAAGUUAGAGAAGUCAUGUGUUCUUAUCAAGAGGCACGUCAGCACAACGACCUUUUGCUGAAAAACGUUAAGCGAUUGGCAGACAGACAACAUCGGGCGCUUCUGCACGAGCUCAAAGGCCGGUUCGGCAUGUCCACUUGCAAAUCGUACUUGCCUACAAAGUUAUACUCUGCUUGUCAAAAUCGUACGCCUAAAAGUGGCAACUUGGUUAGGGCGUGACUGUUACAUUGACCAUACCCACAUAGUUGCUUCUACUAGUAAAGAAAUUUAAGAGGGCGUUGGCGCAUUAUAUCCUAUUUCCUCUUGCAGA